GGGCAUGGUGCCUGAAGUUUUUGUUGCACUCUACAGUGGGAUUUUGAUACGCUCCAUUGCAGAGGCAACACAAGAUAAGAGAACACUAUCAACCAGACAGAUAAUAUUCAACAUUGUUGGGUUCUGUGCAUCCCUCAUGGCUACAGUUUUCAUUGGCAUUUACACGAAGAGGCGACUUGAUCAGCAGCAUGAGGAAGAGCUGAUAUCAGAUUAAUUUCUUUUUUAUGACAAUCUUGUACAAACUACAGACGCUCUUCAUUCAUCUGGAAAAUGAUACAGGUCUGGAGAUGUGGCAUGUGCACAAAAUUUUCAUUGGUUUUAGGGAGAAGCAGAAGUUGCAGGAACAAAUAGCAA